rnacentral:rRNA from 1 species
AUUGAACGUUGGCGGCAGGCCUAAAACAUGCAAGUCGAACGGUAACAGCGGGAGCUUGCUCCCGGCUGACGAGUGGCGGACGGGUGAGUAACACGUAGGAAUCUACCUAGUAGUGGGGACGAACCCGGGAAACCCGGGCGUAAUACCGCAUACGCUCUACGGAGGAAAGGACGGGGGAGUCGUUCGGACCUCGCGCUAUUGGAGGAGCCUGCGUCGGAUUAGCUAGUUGGUGGGGUAAAGGCCUACCAAGGCGACGAUCCGAGCUGGUCUGAGAGGACGAUCAGCCACACUGGAACUGAGACACGGUCCAGACUCUACGGGAGGCAGCAGUUAGGAAUCUUGGGCAAUGGGCGCAAGCCUGACCCAGCCAUGCCGCGUGUGUGAAGAAGG